ACCUGUUCCUGGCUCUCACCCUGCGAUUCCCCUCUGACAGAGGACUGUCCUCUUCAGGUGAGGACAGUGAGGCUCCAGGGGAGACCCAGGGACUCACCCCCAGCCACAGGUGGGGCUUUUCCCCAAGCUGGGAUCAGCCCUGGCCACUGUUCACUGGGGAUGCUGCUUGCUGGUCCCCACGUGGCUGGAGCAGUUGCAUGCUUGGACAGUUUCAUGCUAUCUUUUGCCAAACACAGAUCUUCUUGUUUGUACUCUUUGAGGUCAAAAUGGGCCAGAAACUAUAUGUCAGGGUUUUUUUAAUUUCCUAAAGCAGGAGUGGUUCCUACCCACAGGGCCUGCGGCAGAGGGGAAAGGACACCAGCAAGUUCCCACAAGGGAUGUUCUCAGAAUUUUGCUGCGUUUGCAGAUGUCGAAGGCGCUGACCGUGCCUACCUGCCCCCCAGGACCACCCUGCGCCCUCUGGAUGGAUGUGUUCACCUUUACCAAAUUUUGCAUUUCCACAUAAGCCCUCAUGGAUAGUGGCAAAUAAAUCCCGCUUUGGGCUCUUUCGCAUACCCAUCCCACCGCUCAGCUGGACACAUGGAGCUGGGUGCUACCAAGGGGUGCAUUACCCCUCAGGACAGUUGUCCCCGGGGCUGUGACCAAGCAGAUGGACAAGUGGCUCUGGCACAAGGACCAGACACCCACUGUGUCCCUUCCUUCAUCUCCCACCACCGAGCACCCCAGGAAGGCACUGCAGAGGAGGACACACCGGGUAGACCUGCUGAAAGAUGACCAGGUGCCUCUCACUGAUCCUGAACUGCAGGCUGAUUUUCUGGCUUGAUUUUAGACCUGUCUCAUUGUGGGGAACUUCCCUGAUGGUCUGUCUGGACUCCUGGUUGAACAUUUCUACUACCUCUGCAUCUGCCAUGAUUUGGAGCAGAGGAAUGGGGUCCUUGCCGGUAAGACUGCCCCAUAGCUGUGGUGUCUCUUCUGGCUUCCUGGACCUUUGGGAGCCCCUGGCCCUUGCUGUGCCCUAAUGGGGGGUGGGGGGGUGGGGGUUGUAUAAGGACUACCGGAGCACAUACAGCGUUAUGAGAGAGGGAACUGUGGGGUAUAGGUGUUAACAGGGCACUAUCUGCUGGGGUGCUGUAGGACAGUCUCCUCUGCGAUGCCCGUUGCAGCACUUGCCAAUGCUGCUCCAGUGCAAGGACCUUGGAGACGGGUGUACCCACAGCUGGGGUGCAGAGGAAGGAGGUGACAUGUUAAGCUGUGCAGCAGCAGUUGAGCUGUGAAGCUGCAGCUGAUUUCUCAGGCAUGCUGGUGCAGGGAUGCAGACUUUGCACUUGUGGGUCUGGGAUCAGAUUCCUCACCGGUAUCUGUCUCUGUUGUGCUGCCUUUUGAAGCACACACCGAGAUGGCCACAUUUCCAGCACCGAGUCAGCUCCCUGUAGUGAUAACCUUGUGCACAGGCACCCAUGUGAGGAGCUGGGAAACCAGAAACUUAGACCCCACAGAGUGCUCUUACCAGAGAAGUCCCCUGACUCUGCGUGGGGACAGGCAGUAGUAAACGGAGUCUGGGGAAUUUACUUUCUUCUUCAAUCCUUACUCCCCGCAGCUGCUGAGAUGGAUGCCAUGAGCAGGAACGUACUUGCAGAGGAUGAUGAGAUGCAAUUGCCGUAAUGUCUUUCUCUUUUUCAAGCCUAUUUCAUUUAAGCUUUUUGCAGCUCCCGCAGGUGCUUGGGUUGCAGCAAGGAAGGCAAGUGGUGAAAUUAUAAUGGCAGAGCUUGCUAAGAGCAGGAGGGACAGGUUAAGCUAUAGCUGUGCUUUAGUCAGGCAGGUGUCUGGUGGAGAGAUGAUUCAAACCCAAAUGAAGUGAUUUCUCCUGGUGCUGCUCUAGCCUGAUAACUGUGAUAACACAAAUUGAAUGCAUUUGUUGGCCUUGAUUCACAUCACGGUGGGUGUUUUCAGUGGCUGAAAUGUCAGUGCAAGGCAGGUUUUAGGAGGACUUAAAAAAUAGCUGUAGUUAGGGCUGGGCUUGGAAUAUUUGCCCGUGGGAGGAGCAUGCAAAGGUGAUGGGUGCUGUCAGGAACCAGAGCUGUUAGUGAAAGAACUGGUUUCAUCCUAAACCACCUCAAGCUCACAGGAUAUAGGGGAGACAGGGAAAUGCAACUGUGAUGACAUAGUUCAGCCAAAGUGAGAGAAGUUUUGACAGCUUUGGCACCAGCUGAUCUGUAAGGCAAACUCCAGCCCCAAGGAGAACGGUGAAGUAAAAUCAAUCUGGGCAGAUUUAGCUAGGAUGACUGUCUUCUCCAUGGAGCUUAAUCCAGGACAUGGACCCGCAAUGCCUGGGAUGUUUCCACCUCACCCACAUACUCGGAGAGAACUGAAGCACGCUGUUAACAGUUAUCCUGGCUGUAUUAAAUCAGGCAUACCAUGCCUUUUCCCUCCUUGUCCUCAGAAAAGGGUUCCAUGGCUUUUCCGUGCUUAGUAUGUCCCGUUCCCAUCUCCCAAGCCUUUUGAGGGAGGGAAAGGCUGUCAGGUCUUGUACAUAGCUCACUGCUGGUCUGCCCUGAGCUGCCUUUCUCUGCUUUCUGACUAGUUGUGCUGUUAUAACACACUGAUCUACUCUUGGCUUUCAGUUUAAGGGGUGAAACUCUCAGAUGCCGUGUGUGGCUCUCCAAGGCAUGGGCUCUGCCCUCCCAGCUGCACCUGCUGGAUGCUUCUCUGCUGCUUUCCUGCCAGGCUACACCCUUGUACCAACCCUGGGUUUGGAGGCUCUUGUCACUGCCUCUGUUGCGCUGCUUGUCUCAGCCCCUUUGGGACCCUGUGCCAGGACAGUCCCCAGGAUGGGACAAUGGCUUCAGCUCACACUGUCCCAGUAGGUAAACUGGGUGACUGUAGCUUGGCAGGCUUCCCCCACAGAGGCAGUGUUGGGGGAGUAGACAUGGACACGCAGAAGCUCAUCACGCUCAGCUCCUGUCACUGUGAGAGAUGUGGAGGCAGACAGAGCAGUGAGGAUGUACUGACAGCUUGUUGCCUUCACUUACCUCAUGGUGGCAGGUGCUGGCUGCUUCCCCAGGGCAGUUUUGCCAAAUUUAUGUGUAUUUUUUCUGCUGUCACCACCCUGCACCUGCAAAUAUAGACCUUUGAGGUGGGCUGGGCAGCUAUCCUCUGUGCAGAGAGCUGGGGGCUGCUGGCAGGAGCAGUGUCCCAGGAGCUGCUCCUAGAACCUGUCAUGAGCUGCUCGGUCCUCUGCUUGUGUCCCCCUGGGGACAGUGGGUUUGACUUUUUCCAGCUGGCCAAAUACAAAGGCCACAAAGCAACUGGCUGCACAAGCAUUGUUGUUGCCUGGUCAGCUGGUGAAAGUGGGUUGUAGACCCACCUUCAACAGCUCAGCUGGCAGUGUCAUGGGCUGGCAGGAGACUUCCAGCACAUGGUUCUACCUCCACGGAGGAGCCUCCAUCAGCUCUUCAUGUGAACAGCACCGUGCGGAUGUGUGGCUGGGCAGGCAUUGCACAUGAUGUGCCAGUGGAGGACUUUUUAAUGAUGCCUCCAGUACUGGCCAAGGCAGGUUUGUCAGAUGUGAUUCACCUGCCUCAUGACAAAUCUGGCUGGCCAGACAAGUGACCUUUGAGUCUUGUGUAUUAGCUCAUGGAAACCUGAAUCAACAAUGACUGAGGAAAGGGAAAUACCUGACAAGGAACAAUCCCAGGACAGCCCCGCUGAGGAGCUGGGAUGAGCAGGGGUAAGAACCGCAAGGUGAGGGGGGAGGGACACCCAUGCCCCCCUGCUUUUCCAACCAGCAUCCACCCAUAAGCCAGCCAGCCAGCAAACUCUUUUGGAAAGCAUUACUUCACAAAGAAAAAUGCUCAGUGGCUGACAGUGCCUCGGGCAGAGCACUGCUCUAGCAGAAGUUUAGGCUCAGAGGCCAACUCCUUCCCCCUCAUGCCUGGGUCUGGGUGGCUUUCUGGCCCACCCUGUAGGGUGUCCUUGGGGCCAGCGCUGCUGGCGUGCUGUCCUGUCCCUCACCCAGGCCCUGGGUGAUGGAGAAGGAGCUCUGCACGUAGGUUAACCUAAUGCUGUAGAGGGGUGGUUUUGUUCAGAAGGGGACUUUCAGCUGUGUCAUUAGGUGUUGGGCUGCUUGCUCUGCUGGAGCCGCUUGCAGCAGCAGAUCGGUGGCUGGUCAACAUCAUCCUGAGCCUUGGUCCUUUGGGUGCGUCUGCCCCUGCACCAAGCCAUGGUUUGGCUCAGACAUCCCACUCCAGCAUGUGCCAAGAGUUGCUCUCUGUGUUCCUGCAGGAGCAGCUGCCGAAACAUGCUUUUCCAUGCUGGGGAUUGACAUUUUUUGCUCUGGACACAUGGAGUGACUGAUGAUGAGCAGGAAAAUGAAGUGUUUCUCUCGGCAGCAGGGGGUGAGAUGCGUGCAGAGGGAAGGAGUAGAAUUCUCUGUGAAUUGGCAAAGGCAGCCAGGUGUGAGAGAGAAGCAUGGGUGUUGUGGGGUGCCCCCACCCCAGGGGUCUCAAGCUGGGUCAUUGACAUGUACUAUCUCCUCUCCCUGGACACCUCCUCCUGGGCUGCGUGGAGGGUUGGGGGACUUCUUGGUGAGGACGGGGUCCAUCCCACAGCUUUUUAUCAACUAGAAGUGGGACAUCUGAGCUGGGUGAGCAAAUUAAUCCAAGCAGGGGGCUGCUGAGCCACACAGAGAUCCACUCCUUUAGUUGGCAGCUGUGGUGGUCUCUGAUAUCACUGUUGCUGCCUUCUAUCCCUGGAUAUUCAUCAUUGCUUCUCUGCUGGAGGCCAUCUCCACCACAGCCAACAACAUGGGAGUGCUCCUCAGCCGUUUCUGGGGGGAGUCCAGUGGAUUUAGGUGAAAGUGCUGGAGGAGGUGUGAUUGUGGACUUUGCACAGGAGUGGCUGAUGAGAUGUCACAUCCCUGACAGUGAGUCUGUGGUGGAACAGGGGUCCCCACCAGGAGGGACGGUACCAAAUGUCAGGAGUGUGGGAAGAGCUGGUGCCUGGGGUCGUGGCACAUUGCUGUCUCAGCCAGCUAUGCUGUGAUGUUGUUAGAGGAGCCUGUUAUGGGGAAAAGGGAAAUAGAAGAACUGGGCAGUGAAGGGAAGGGAGACACGAGAGCCAGUCAAAUACACAUGUCUUGCACCUCAAGGUGGUGAUGAGGCAGGGUUAGCGACCUCACUGCUGCUGGACCCUCUGGCUGCCCAGGACACCUCUUGGGAUGGCAGAUGCCAGGUGUCGGGCCACCCUGCUCAGGCGGCACCGCAGUCCCCUGAAGGGAUGCCCAUAAGCCUUGACCUCAGCCUGCUCACGCAUGUUAAACAGCGACUGCUGCCUUUCCCUGGCAUUGUGCGAACCCCAGCCCAAAUAUGUGUAGGUUUGCAGUGAGGGAGAAAUGAAAAAGCUGCCCAGUGCUGGGGGUAUGACGGUGCAGCCCUUGGCUUUUGUUUGGCCCUUUUCUCAGGUGAGGUCCUGCUGGGAUCACCAAGGGUGAGUAAAUCCUCCCAUUCCCAGAGCCCAUAGGUGAGGGCAAAUAAACCGUUGUCCCGGCUCUGCCUGUGCACAGAUGCUGAGCCCUGUGGGGAAGGGAGGACAGGCGUCCCACCAUCUGAUCCUCCUCCCCAGUCCCACAAUGAGCGAGAAGCUCUUCCAGCAAGAGAUCAGAAACCCAGGCAGCACAAUUAGAAUUAUAAUAAUAGUAAUUACUGCCUUGCCUCUCUCUAAGGAUUUUCUAGUGAGGCUCACCAGGUGCUGGCUGGGCAUUAACUAAUUAAAGCAAUAGCAUCCACGUGAAGGGGAUGGGUGCCAGCUGGGUCACGGGACUGCAGCAGCUCAGCUGGGGGCUCGUGUUCUCCCUGCCCUCAUCUUUAUCCAGGCUUGGGGGGGGAAGGUUAAAAGGGAGGAGCUCGAUUGGGAGGUACGUCCCCGAAUGGGCCCUCUUACCGCAGGGAUGAGGGUUAAUGUAUGGGAGAGAAGAAGAGCAGGUCAGGAGCACUCCGCAUGCUACCCACGGGUGCUCCUCUGGUCCCCAGUGAUGUGAGCUAAAGGGCUUGCGCAUACCUCUGUGUGCGUUUGGGGAUAAAUAAACUCUAAUGCAUCAA